GAUGAACGCUGGUGGCAUGCUUAACACAUGCAAGUCGAACGGUAGCACGGUAGUAGCAAUACUAUGGGUGACGAGUGGCGGACGGGUGAGUAAUGCAUAGGAAUCUGCCUUAUAGUGGGGGAUAACGUAGGGAAACUUACGCUAAUACCGCAUAAUACGAACUGUUAAAGUGGGCGCAAGCUCACGCUAUAAGAUGAGCCUAUGUUGGAUUAGCUAGUUGGUAGGGUAAAGGCCUACCAAGGCGACGAUCCAUAGCUGUUCUGAGAGGAAGACCAGC
rnacentral:rRNA from 1 species